GGGGGCGUCACGGUUUCGACGGGGACAUUUGACGUUGUAGUUGCGUACCGAGGUUCCUACAGGCCUCGUUAAAAAGGUAGGAAACAUAUAAUCGCAGACAACUACGAUUACGCUUUAGCCGCAUAAGACGGCUAACGUCCUUUUUGGGCUUGCCUGCCGGCAUGAAAAGGACGUCAAAAAGACAGGCUAGCCGAGCUUCUUUCCUGGGG
rnacentral:tmRNA from 1 species